rnacentral:lncRNA from 8 species
AUGAUGCGAUGUGAAUAUAAUGAUGGCCUAAACCCCAGAAAGGUGAGACUGAACAUGGACAAGGCGCAGGAGAAACAGAAGGAGAGCUACCAGAGAAGAGAAGAAGAAGAGAAGAGAACAAAGUGCUUCAACAUCUAUCUCAAUCUCUUCAUUCAAAGACUCCAUCAUGGACUCUUACUGACAGUUGUGGCUGUUUUGCGUGAUGUAUUGUUGUCUCUACCUUCUUGCCCUUUGUACUGUUGUCUGUGCCCAAUAAAUGUUUGUACCAUGUUUUGUGCUGGUACCAUGUUGUGUUGCUACCAUGUUGUUGUCAUGUUGUGUUACUACCAUGCUGUGUUGACAUAUGUUGCUGCCUUGCUAUAUUGUUGUCUUAGGUCUCUCUUAUUUUUAAUCCCAGCCCCCGUCCCUGCAGGAGGCCUUUUGCCUUUUGGUAGGCCGUCAUUGUAAAUAAGAAUUUGUUCUUAACUGACUUGCCUUGUUAAAGUCUGCCAGGAGUUUGCAGAAUUGGUCAAUUUAUACAUUUUCAAGUACAUAACUAUAGAGAACAUACAAAAAUGCUAUGGUAAUUAAAGUUUAAAGUAAAAAAAUAUAUAUAGUUUACACACUCCCAGGAAUGUCAUACACGAUGGAUCAUUAGCUUCCCUACAGAAAAGACACUCGGGAGCAAGAGACAGCAGUGGGGUCAAACUGUAGAACUCAGUUCCUACAUUUGAAUAUAAAAAUAGAUUUUUUUCAAACAAAACUACACUACAUUUUUCUCUCUGGGACCCUCAGGAUGACAGAUCAGAGCCAGAUUACUGAAUUUAAGUACAUUAUUUACCUUCAGAGGUGAAUGUAUCAAACCAGUUGCCGUGAUAAAAGUAUUUUGUUGUCGUGCACUAUGUUGCAAUAGCUACUGUAAACUGGACACCGCAGUUAGAUUAACAAUAAUUUAAGCUUUCUGCCGAAUAAGACAUGUCUAUGUCCCGGAAUUGGCUGUUGUUUACAAUGUCAUUCUAGUCACAUUAUCGCAUAUUGAGCAACAACUGUCCCGGUUUAGGGACAGUAGUUGUCCUAUAGUGCUUAAAGUAGAUGAGGGAGGAUGUAUCAAAUCCUAUACGUUUCUGGGUUUUGAAGGUCACAAGAGUGGAUUUCAGAUGUCUGCCUGUCUU